AAAAAAUGAUACAAUUCUAAUAGUCUGAAGACAGUGCAGCUGGCCAGUGGAACGAAGCUUGAUUGACAUUUUGGAUAGCCUUUAUGCCAACUAAAUCCACAAUUUAACAGAUUUUUCUAAAUUCUUUUGGAGAUCUGUCUUAGUAAAAAGUUGCUGCAGCCAAGGUAGUACUACUGUGACCUGCUAAAUGCCAGGGAGAACCAUGAAAGUUCAGCUCAACUGGAAAAUUAUUUAGAAGCACCUUGUUUCUUUGUGUCCUAGAAGGAUCCACAGAUGCAUCAUGUUAAAUUUGAGAAUAAAAUAUAGUCACACCUUGCUACAAUAAAAAAAAAAGAAAGAAAGAAGAAAGAAAGAAAGAAAGAAAGAAAGAAAGAAAGAAAGAAAGAAAGAAAGAAAGAAAGAAAGAAAAGAAAAAGAAAAAGAAAAAGACCCGGGGCAUAUGAUCUGUAUUCUGGAAGGUUAUGUGCCCAAUAUAAAUUCAGUACUAUGGAAAAGGGAGAAAAAUGAUUUUUAGGUACAACUAGGAUAUUCUACUAUUUGGUGUGUCUGGUAUUAAAGUAAGUUGACAAAUAUAACAAAAAUUAUUGUGUGUCAAGCAUUUUUAAGUGUCUUGUAUGUUUAUUUAUGUACUUUUUUAUAUCUAAAGGAUAUGUGCCCUUUACUAAAAGUUUUCUUAACAUAUUUUCCAAAUAUUCAGAA